UACGAAGGGUGCAAGCGUUGUUCGGAAUCACUGGGCGUAAAGAAUGCGUAGGCGGCUUAAUAAGUCGGAAGUGAAAUCCCAGGGCUCAACCCUGGAACUGCUUUCGAAACUAUUUUGCUAGAGUCCCGGAGGGGUUAGCGGAAUUCCGAGUGUAGAGGUGAAAUUCGCAGAUAUUCGGAGGAACACCAGUGGCGAAGGCGGCUAACUGGACGGGAACUGACGCUGAGGCAUGAAAGUGUGGGGAUCAAACAGG
rnacentral:rRNA from 1 species